rnacentral:rRNA from 1 species
AUUGAACGCUGGCGGCAUGCCUUACACAUGCCAGUCGAACGGCAGCACGGGUGCUUGCACCUGGUGGCGAGUGGCGAACGGGUGAGUAAUACAUCGGAACAUGUCCUGUAGUGGGGGAUAGCCCGGCGAAAGCCGGAUUAAUACCGCAUACGAUCUACGGAUGAAAGCGGGGUACCUUCGGGCCUCGCGCCAUAGGGUUGGCCGAUGGCUGAUUAGCUAGUUGGUGGGGUAAAGGCCUACCAAGGCGACGAUCAGUAGCUGGUCUGAGAGGACGACCAGCCACACUGGGACUGAGACACGGCCCAGACUCCUACGGGAGGCAGCAGUGGGGAAUUUUGGACAAUGGGCGAAAGCCUGAUCCAGCAAUGCCGCGUGUGUGAAGAAGGCCUUCGGGUUGUAAAGCACUUUUGUCCGGAAAGAAAUCCUUGGCCCUAAUACGGUCGUGGGAUGACGGUACCGGAAGAAUAAGCACCGGCUAACUACGUG